rnacentral:rRNA from 1 species
UGGCCUUGACAUACUAAGAACUUUCCAGAGAUGGAUUGGUGCCUUCGGGAACUUAGAUACAGGUGCUGCAUGGCUGUCGUCAGCUCGUGUCGUGAGAUGUUGGGUUAAGUCCCGCAACGAGCGCAACCCUUUUCCUUAUUUGCCAGCGGGUAAUGCCGGGAACUUUAAGGAUACUGCCAGUGACAAACUGGAGGAAGGCGGGGACGACGUCAAGUCAUCAUGGCCCUUACGGCCAGGGCUACACACGUGCUACAAUGGUCGGUACAAAGGGUUGCUACCUCGCGAGAGGAUGCUAAUCUCAAAAAGCCGAUCGUAGUCCGGAUCGCAGUCUGUAACUCGACUGCGUGAAGUCGGAAUCGCUAGUAAUCGUGGAUCAGAAUGCCGCGGUGAAUACGUUCCCGGGCCUUGUACACACCGCCCGUCACACCAUGGGAGUUUGUUGCACCAGAAGUAGGUAGUCUAACCGCAAGGAGGACGCUUACCACGGUGUGGCCGAUGACUGGGGUGAAGUCGUAACAAGGUAGGCGUAGAUGA